AAAAAUGGCAUCUGCUAUGUCGUGGAAGGGAUUCACUGAGACAAUUAUGGAAUUGCUAUCAAGAGAUUUAGAUGCACUAUAUUUAUAACCUGGUGUCGCCAAUGAUGGCUCAUCUUGGUAUUAUU